rnacentral:rRNA from 1 species
ACUCCUACGGGAGGCAGCAGUGGGGAAUAUUGCACAAUGGGCGCAAGCCUGAUGCAGCCAUGCCGCGUGUAUGAAGAAGGCCUUCGGGUUGUAAAGUACUUUCAGCAGUGAGGAAGGUGGGUAUGUUAAUAGCAUACUCAUUUGACGUUAGCUGCAGAAGAAGCACCGGCUAACUCCGUGCCAGCAGCCGCGGUAAUACGGAGGGUGCGAGCGUUAAUCGGAAUUACUGGGCGUAAAGCGCAUGCAGGUGGUUUGUUAAGUCAGAUGUGAAAGCCCGGGGCUCAACCUCGGAAUUGCAUUUGAAACUGGCAAACUAGAGUACUGUAGAGGGGGUAGAAUUUCAGGUGUAGCGGUGAAAUGCGUAGAGAUCUGAAGGAAUACCGGUGGCGAAGGCGGCCCCCUGGACAGAUACUGACACUCAGAUGCGAAAGCGUGGGGAGCAAACAGGAUUAGAUACCCUGGUA